ensembl:Mt_tRNA tRNA-Tyr
GGUAAAAUGGCUGAGAGUUUAAGUGGUGGGUUGUAGCCCCAUAAACAGAGGUUUAAGUCCUCUUUUUACCA